AUUCGAUAUUACGACCGACUGCAUUCUAUGAUUAAAUUCAGUUUAAUAUCGCUUUUCUGUGGAAACUUUAAUCAGUGAAAUGUACAAACGAUAUAUUAUUUUGCUCUUGGGCUGGCUGGCGGCGUGCGCCGGGAGAGAGCCUUUCAAGCCACGCCAUGGCUCAUUACCAUACCUCGUGUACUUCCCGUCGCGCUACCGCGGCAUGUGCGUG